GCGAAAUUUCAGAAAUAUUUUGUUUGUUUUCUCAUGAAUUCUACUCUCUUUUUUUUUACCGAUUUUGGGACAGUGCUUGCCUUAUUUAACAUUUUGUGCCACAUUUAUCUACGAUCUGUUACAAUGUGCCACAUUUUACAUAACGUAACAAGUUUUUUCUGAAUCUGACAGGGCAGACCCACAUAUUAGGGCUACAUGGCAGAUGGCUGGAUGCCAAGCUCAAAGUGCAAAGUUUUGGGCGUUUCUUCUUCUAACGGUCCACCCGACCCAACCGAACCGCUUACCCGUCCGAUCC
rnacentral:lncRNA from 1 species